UGGGGAAUAUUGCACAAUGGGCGCAAGCCUGAUGCAGCCAUGCCGCGUGUGUGAAGAAGGCCUUCGGGUUGUAAAGCACUUUCAGCGGGAAGGAAGGCGUUAAGGUUAAUAACCUUGGCGAUUGACGUUACCCGCAGAAGAAGCACCGGCUAACUCCGUGCCAGCAGCCGCGGUAAUACGGAGGGUGCAAGCGUUAAUCGGAAUUACUGGGCGUAAAGCGCACGCAGGCGGUCUGUCAAGUCGGAUGUGAAAUCCCCGGGCUCAACCUGGGAACUGCAUUCGAAACUGGCAGGCUAGAGUCUUGUAGAGGGGGGUAGAAUUCCAGGUGUAGCGGUGAAAUGCGUAGAGAUCUGGAGGAAUACCGGUGGCGAAGGCGGCCCCCUGGACAAAGACUGACGCUCAGGUGCGAAAGCGUGGGGAGCAAACAGG
rnacentral:rRNA from 1 species